UUUUCUCACCACUAUUUAGUACAACAAAUUACUGGGACACUGUAUAACUUAAUUUGAAAAAUUCUAAUAAACCGUACAUUUUUUUUUUAUAACUAUGUGUAUAAGUGUUGAUUACCAUUUUAAACUACGAUAAUGGCGGUAACUUAAAAAUAAAAAGUUUCCGAUAAAAAUAUGCAGUUGGAGAAAAAAUUUGCUUAAUGUACGGAGAUUGCGGGAAUAAUUCACCGUUUAUUAUUUUCCCGCCAAUAUUGCUUGAGGAGGAAGGAACUUUGUGUUCUUAGGUAGUUGAGAAUUCCUUGACUUGUCGAUGGAUGGAGGAUAGCAAUCUAGUAAAAGAACAUCACAAUAGUCCUUGAAAUUGGCGCGUUAUAAAAAGCUAAAAACAAAAAGAUAAUAACAAAAUUGUUGUACCAUUUCGCGUGAUCCUUGUAUAUUGGAGGAAUGUCUGGCUGUCUCUCUGUUUGGCUAAAAGUUUAUCCAGAUCAGCAUCAUCGCAUGGUUCGACAGACGUCCGCUGACAUCGACAUCGACAUCGACUCGGACUUGAGCGAUUUCAUCCUUAUCACAAUCACGGCGUAAAAUUUCCAGAGAGAAAUCCUAUAGAAUUAAUAUAAUAUGCAUAUGUAUGUAUGGUUUCAAUUUCAAUUAGUUGUAGAGGGACGCUCAAAUAUCGAGAUGGCGCUUUAAAGUUUUAAACAAUAAAUAUAUAAAGUUUUUAAUCAAUAAAUGAUUCUCAACCGGUUUACCCGGUUUAAAAAACAGUUUCGCUCAGACAAAUAGAGAAUGAAUAAUAUUAAUCUUAAAACUUCCUCUACUAUUUAUUAUAUUACAUAAUUUAUAUGGACAAUGUUUCAAAAAUCAACAUAAAACACUCAUACUUGGU